UACGUAGGGUGCAAGCGUUGUCCGGAAUUAUUGGGCGUAAAGAGCUCGUAGGCGGUUUGUUGCGUCGGCUGUGAAAUCCCGAGGCUCAACCUCGGGUCUGCAGUUCGAUACGAGCAAACUAGAGUGUUGCAGGGGAGACUGGAAUUCCUGGUGUAGCGGUGAAAUGCGCAGAUAUCGGAAGGAACAUCAGUGGCGAAAACGACUUCCUGGACCAAUACUGACGCUCAUGUGCGAAAAGCGUGGGGAGCAAACAGG
rnacentral:rRNA from 1 species